rnacentral:rRNA from 1 species
CCCUUAGAUGUCCUGGGCCGCACGCGUGCUACACUGACGCAUACAGCGAGCACUUUCCAGUUCCGAGAGGCUACUGGUAAUCAUCAAUAUGCGUCGUGAUGGGGAUAGAUCUUUGGAAUUCUGGAUCUUGAACGAGGAAUGCCUAGUAAUCGCAGGUCAUUAGCCUGCGAUGAUUAAGUCCCUGCCCUUUGUACACACCGCCCGUCGCUACUACCGAUUUCGAGUGGUCAGGUGAAUCUUUCGGACUGUGGGCGCCCUUGAGGUGUUCGCGGAAAGUCAGGGAAAUCUUAUCACUUAGAGGAAGUAAAAGGCGUAACA